rnacentral:rRNA from 1 species
CCGGCACGGGUGAGUAACACGUAUCCAACCUGCCGUCUACUCUUGGACAGCCUUCUGAAAGGAAGAUUAAUACAAGAUGGCAUCAUGAGUCCGCAUGUUCACAUGAUUAAAGGUAUUCCGGUAGACGAUGGGAUGCGUUCCAUUAGAUAGUAGGCGGGGUAACGGCCCACCUAGUCUUCGAUGGAUAGGGGUUCUGAGAGGAAGGGCCCCCACAUUGGACUGAGACACGGCCAA